GCCUGAAUUGGCGCUACUAUCACGUAAAGGCACGUGAAGGCGAGUGAAUCAGACGCCGCCGUGUAAGUGCACCGUGCAGAACAUCCACUCUGUCCUGAUCUGGAGAUAACUCUAGUAUACUUGAAGAAAAACAUUCUUGAAGCCGUUCGGCAGCUUUGCGGUGAAGAGGGAGCCAAGAAUCCAAUAGAUAUUUUAAAGUAUACCCCUGCAAAGCGCAGAUUUAUCGUGCGCUGUCCAUCUAACUUUUAUACGCAGCUACGAACC
rnacentral:misc_RNA from 1 species